rnacentral:rRNA from 1 species
ACUCCUGCGGGAGGCAGCAGUGGGGAAUUUUGGACAAUGGGCGAAAGCCUGAUCCAGCAAUGCCGCGUGAGUGAAGAAGGCCUUCGGGUUGUAAAGCUCUUUUGUCAGGGAAGAAACGGUGAGAGCUAAUAUCUCUUGCUAAUGACGGUACCUGAAGAAUAAGCACCGGCUAACUACGUGCCAGCAGCCGCGGUAAUACGUAGGGUGCAAGCGUUAAUCGGAAUUACUGGGCGUAAAGCGUGCGCAGGCGGUUUUGUAAGUCUGAUGUGAAAUCCCCGGGCUCAACCUGGGAAUUGCAUUGGAGACUGCAAGGCUAGAAUCUGGCAGAGGGGGGUAGAAUUCCACGUGUAGCAGUGAAAUGCGUAGAUAUGUGGAGGAACACCGAUGGCGAAGGCAGCCCCCUGGGUCAAGAUUGACGCUCAUGCACGAAAGCGUGGGGAGCAAACAGGAUUAGAUACCCGUGUAGUCC